rnacentral:misc_RNA from 1 species
UUUCCGUAGGUGAACCUGCGGAAGGAUCAUUCAUAAUAAAGUGUUUUAUGGCACUUUUUAAAAAUCCAUAUCCACCUUGUGUGCAAUGUUAGAUCUCGUCAAUCUUGGCGAGAUUUUUAUACAUCAACUCAUUUUUUAACUAAUUUGUCUGAAAAAUAUUAUGAAUACCUAAUUCAAAAUACAACUUUCAACAACGGAUCUCUUGGCUCUC